UGGUCAAGUUAUUAAGGGUGCAGGGCGGAUGCCUUGGCACUAGGAGCCGAUGAAGGACGUGAUAAGCUGCGAUAAGCUUCGGGGAGUUGCACGUAAACUUUGAUCCGAAGAUUUCCGAAUGAGGAAACUCACUUAGAGUAAUGUCUAAGUAUCGUUAAGUGAAUACAUAGCUUAAUGAGGGGAACUCAGGGAACUGAAACAUCUAAGUACCUGAAGGAAGAGAAAGAAAUUCGAUUCCGUAAGUAGCGGCGAGCGAACGCGGAUUAGCCCAAACCAAUAAAGUUUUCUUUAUUGGGGUUGCGGACAUAUCAUAACGAAGAGGUAUCGUAAUUGAAGAGGUUUGGAAAGACCCACCACAGAAGGUAAUAGUCCUCUAUGUUAAACGAGAAGACUU
rnacentral:rRNA from 1 species